UCACUCGGCGGUCAUGCACUGUAGCCGGUGUUUGAAGAAGAGUAGGCGAUGUUUGGCCACUUGACUUUGGUCCAGUGAUCCCGGGUACCGGUAACGGGCAUAAGUUUCAGCUCCUGGGUCUUUUGCUGUCCACGGCAGCUUCACCUUCGAUGCAUGAUCCACAACAACAUCAGAGCAGGAGCCAACACGAAGGAAACCAAGUCCAUCCAGGAAGAAUUCCAGAUGUGCCACCCGGUUAAGGCGUGGGUCAAAGCCCACUUGGCGCACUUUGUCUGUGCGCGCCAGGAAGAAGUUGACCACGCCGUCUGUGACCACACAACUUGGGAAGCCAACGAGCUCGUGGUGGAAGCCCUGCUUUUGCCGGAAGCAGUUCCCAAGGCCUGGGGCGCCCGGCUCCACACUCAGCAGCUGCCGGUAGGUGGUAGCGUAGCCCGAGAUCUCCCGCACCGCGCCCCCUACCAGGUCCAGGGGCGUCUUCUCGAGCACGUCCACAAGCUUCUCCAGCCGCGUGCGCGCCGUGAAGACAAAGUCGUCGUCCACCCACAGCACGUAUUUGGUGGUUACUUGGGACACCGCCAGGUUCCGACCUGCGAACCAACCCUUGCCGAAGGGCAUGAAGUAGUGCUCCACGUGUGGGUCGCUAAUGCGCUCCGGUUUGUCACUGUCGUCAGCGAUGACUAUGGUGACCGUAGGGUAAAAGCGUCGGAUGCUGGCAAUGAGUGUCCGUAGUCGAUCAUAACGAAGAAAAGUCUUGGUGGCAAUGGUAACCAGAGCACUGAUGUUGUACUCGGCUCCUUGGGGUAGGGAUGAUGGUGGGUACAGCCGGGGGUUGGGAGGGUGUCUUACGAGGAUGGUGAAGGCAACUUCAUGUCCCUUGGUGGAGAACCGGACUGUGUCUGCUGUGUUGGCCUGGUAGCU
rnacentral:misc_RNA from 1 species